GCGCACCCAGGCGCGAAAACUCCGCAAUGUCCGAAAGGGCGACGGGGGAACUCCAAGUGCCUUGCCUUUUGGUAAGGCUUUUGUGUAGUGUAGAUAGCUACAAGAAUAAGGGCGGGUAAGACCGGUGCCAGCCGCCGCGGUAACACCGGCCGCCCAAGUGGUGACCGCUAUUAUUGGGCCUAAAGCGUCCGUAGCCGGUCCAGUAAGUCUUUGGGUAAAUCCUACUGCUUAACUGCGGGAAUUCCAGAAAUACUGCAGAGCUAGGGGCCGGGAGACGCAGAAGGUACUCCUGGGGUAGGGAUGAAAUCCUAUAAUCCUAGGGGGACCACCAGUGGCGAAGGCGUUCUGCGAGAACGGGCUCGACGGUGAGGGACGAAAGCCAGGGGCGCAAACGGGAUUAGAUACCCCUGUAGUCC
rnacentral:rRNA from 1 species